GCAGGAAAGCGUGCUACGGGGCGUCUGCCCACUCUUUCCCCUGUUGCACUACUGUCCAACGUCACAGCUAGCAGUGCAAUAAUGAAAGGGCGUCAGCCGCUCCGCAGAGCAGCAGAACCGGAG
rnacentral:precursor_RNA from 11 species